GAAGGAGUAAGCGGUAGAAGAUGGAUGGAUGGAUGGAUAGUCUACUUUUCAUGUAUAGAAUUAUGGCUGUGGAAGUGAACAAAUCCUGGAGGGUGGGCAGGUUUGUACCUAUCCUUUCAGAUGAUCUAAUGGUGCGUUGCAGCUUGUUCAGUCUGCUCCUGCAUCAGAAUGGACAUUCAGUCUGUUUUUGUAGGAAGAAAAUCCUCUGCUGGAACUUUUUAGCAAUCCAGUCCAUACUGGCUCUCCAUUUUAGCUGAAUGCUACUAUGGAGGACUUCAGGUUCGUAUCUGAUCCCCCCACCAGAGAUAUUCAACACAAAAUUUAAGCAGAUCACUGCAAGGAAAUUGGGAGGCUGGACCAUAAUGAAAGAAACAGAAGUCAUUGGUUCUUGCAAACCGGACAGCUUCUCCCUCCUCAUCCUCCCAGCUAUGUGGGUAAUAUAGAUAUUAUUUCAGCCUCAGUCCCAUUUUCUCCUCAAUUAAAUUAUGAUGUCCUCGACCCAUCCUGGCUGGGUGAGAGAGAGGGGAAAAGAUAUGAUGUGAAAGCUUUAUUGAUGUCUACAAUUACUGGCUAGGCCCAGCUGUAGGCUCUACGUGAAAGAGGGUGGGAGGUUAGGGGCCUUAUCCGAGCCUCAGAGCGACCCAGGGCCAGCAGGGAGCACCAUCAUAACUUCCAUUGUCCGCCUCCUUUGAUGGAUGAGGGAGAGAGAGAUCUCCUGAGGAUUCAGUGCUACCAGUGCCCACUGCAAUACUGUGGUGUUGUGCCUCUCCCUCAUCCAUUAGGCUAGACAUAUGAAACUGCUAUAGUUUUUCCAAAGCAGUGGAAGACAGGGCAUAAAAUAUCUGUUGGGAAAGUGAGUGGAUAAUACUAUAAUACCACAUUUGUGUUUUACAGUAACAUCCAUUCCAUAAAAAAAAUGACAAAAC
ensembl:lncRNA